rnacentral:rRNA from 1 species
UACGGGGGGUGCAAGCGUUGUUCGGAAUCAUUGGGCGUAAAGCGCGCGCAGGCGGCUUGGUAAGUCAGAUGUGAAAUCCCUGGGCUUAACCCAGGAAGUGCAUUUGAUACUGCCUCGCUAGAGUACGGGAGAGGAAAGUGGAAUUCCUGGUGUAGAGGUGAAAUUCGUAGAUAUCAGGAGGAACACCGGUGGCGAAGGCGACUUUCUGGCCCGAUACUGACGCUCAGGCGCGAAAGCGUGGGGAGCAAACAGGAUUAGAAACCCGGUAGUCC